CAUAUACUCCCUCCGUCCCAAAAUUCUUGUCUUAGAUUUGUCUAAAUAUGAAUGUAUCUAGUCAUGUUUUGGUAUUUAGAUACAUCCAUUUCUAGACAAACAUAAGACAAGAAAUUUGGGACGGAGGGAGUAUACA
rnacentral:pre_miRNA from 1 species